rnacentral:rRNA from 1 species
GCAGUCGAACGGCAGCGCGGGGCAACCUGGCGGCGAGUGGCGAACGGGUGAGUAAUAUAUCGGAACGUACCCAAGAGUGGGGGAUAACGUAGCGAAAGUUACGCUAAUACCGCAUACGAUCCAUGGAUGAAAGCAGGGGACCGCAAGGCCUUGUGCUCCUGGAGCGGCCGAUAUCUGAUUAGCUAGUUGGUGAGGUAAAGGCUCACCAAGGCCACGAUCAGUAGCUGGUCUGAGAGGACGACCAGCCACACUGGAACUGAGACACGGUCCAGACUCCUACGGGAGGCAGCAGUGGGGAAUUUUGGACAAUGGGCGCAAGCCUGAUCCAGCAAUGCCGCGUGAGUGAAGAAGGCCUUCGGGUUGUAAAGCUCUUUUGUCAGGGAAGAAACGGUAGAGGCUAAUAUCCUUUGCUAAUGACGGUACCUGAAGAAUAAGCACCGGCUAACUACGUGCCAGCAGCCGCGGUAAUACGUAGGGUGCAAGCGUUAAUCGGAAUUACUGGGCGUAAAGCGUGCGCAGGCGGUUUUGUAAGUCUGUCGUGAAAGCCCCGGGCUCAACCUGGGAAUUGCGAUGGAGACUGCAAGGCUUGAAUCUGGCAGAGGGGGGUAGAAUUCCACGUGUAGCAGUGAAAUGCGUAGAGAUGUGGAGGAACACCGAUGGCGAAGGCAGCCCCCUGGGUCAAGAUUGACGCUCAUGCACGAAAGCGUGGGGAGCAAACAGGAUUAGAUACCCUGGUAGUCCACGCCCUAAACGAUGUCUACUAGUUGUCGGGUUUUAAUUAACUUGGUAACGCAGCUAACGCGUGAAGUAGACCGCCUGGGGAGUACGGUCGCAAGAUUAAAACUCAAAGGAAUUGACGGGGACCCGCACAAGCGGUGGAUGAUGUGGAUUAAUUCGAUGCAACGCGAAAAACCUUACCUACCCUUGACAUGUCAGGAAGGCCGAAGAGAUUUGGCUGUGCCCGAAAGGGAACCUGAACACAGGUGCUGCAUGGCUGUCGUCAGCUCGUGUCGUGAGAUGUUGGGUUAAGUCCCGCAACGAGCGCAACCCUUGUCAUUAGUUGCUACAUUUAGUUGGGCACUCUAAUGAGACUGCCGGUGACAAACCGGAGGAAGGUGGGGAUGACGUCAAGUCCUCAUGGCCCUUAUGGGUAGGGCUUCACACGUCAUACAAUGGUACAUACAGAGGGCCGCCAACCCGCGAGGGGGAGCUAAUCCCAGAAAGUGUAUCGUAGUCCGGAUCGUAGUCUGCAACUCGACUACGUGAAGUUGGAAUCGCUAGUAAUCGCGGAUCAGCAUGUCGCGGUGAAUACGUUCCCGGGUCUUGUACACACCGCCCGUCACACCAUGGGAGCGGGUUUUACCAGAAGUAGGUAGCUUAACCGCAAGGAGGGCGCUA